UUGUGGAUUUAAACAAUUUUGUGGGACUGAGUAGGAACUGUUUGUCAUUUUUGCUUCUGCCAGGAAUCACAGCCAUCUAUCUGAAAGCUCAGCCUGAAGAAGAUUAGAGGCAUCCCACGUCAUGAACUGCAACACUGCUGCAAUAUAUGUCAUGCACUGUCUGGAAGGUUUACGGAGCGAAGGCCAACGAGACGGCUCCCAGUGGCUUUGUUGGGGCAGACACCCAGCUACUCCUGGUUUAUAACUCCGCAACGAGGAAUCGCAUCCAGACAGCAUGCAGUGACGCAUCAGAAGGAUGGCGCAGAUGAAGGGCGAAUAUUGAAUUCGGCGGUUAGCCUAAUGUGCACCUGUUGAGGAGCUGGUCUGGCGAGAUGUGCACGGGCGGCUGGCGAGCUGUCAAGGCCCGGGGUUUGAUCCUUUCCCAUGAGGUUCAGUGCACAGAAUCACAAAAUCAUUGAGAUUGCCGAAGACCUUCCAGGCCAUCUCAUCCGUCCAUCAACUCAAGCUGGACUCGGUACUUUUAAUGGGCUGGAAAAUAUUCUUCCUGUGAAGUUGCAGUUUUCGGAGGGCUUUGAAUGAGUCCACUCUGCCAUUGGCUCUGCCCAACGCCUCGCGAUUGGCUCGGCAGCCCGCGGGGGACCGAUAAGGGCGGCUAUAAAAGCCCUCAGCACUGCUCCCGGUCCCCCAUUGAGCGCAGCCGGAGGGGUCACCACGCAUUGCCGGGCAGCGGUCCCCAACCCCGGGCGCGCUCCUUGCAUUCCCAUCCAGCUCCACAUCUUUGCUCGAGCCGGAGUGGAAGAACCCAUACACCAAAAAAAAAAAAAAAA